GUUCAUGGCUCAGGACGAACGCUGGCGGCGCGCCUAACACAUGCAAGUCGAACGAGCGAGAGAGAGCUUGCUUUCUCAAGCGAGUGGCGAACGGGUGAGUAACGCGUGAGGAACCUGCCUCAAAGAGGGGGACAACAGUUGGAAACGACUGCUAAUACCGCAUAAGCCCACGGUGCCGCAUGGCACAGAGGGAAAAGGAGCAAUCCGCUUUGAGAUGGCCUCGCGUCCGAUUAG
rnacentral:rRNA from 1 species